rnacentral:rRNA from 1 species
GACGAACCGUGCGAACGUUAUUCGGAAUCACUGGGCUUAAAGCGCGUGUAGGCGGGCCGGCACGUCCGUCGCUGAAAUCCCACGGCUCAACCGUGGAAGUGGCGUGGAUACGGCCGGCCUCGAGGGGGGUAGGGGGACCUGGAACUUCCGGUGGAGCGGUGAAAUGCGUUGAGAUCGGAAGGAACGCCCGUGGCGAAAGCGAGGUCCUGGACCCUUUCUGACGCUGAGACGCGAAAGCCAGGGGAGCGAACGGG